ACAACGUGCGACACAAGCCUCUUCAGUUGUUGGCUCUAGCAGCAUGUCUCGGCCAUUUUCGGUUUCUUGUGUUGAAUACCUGCUCGAAAGGCAUUCUUCGGUUGCAAAAGAUAAGAUUCCGCCUUGUGCUGCGUCCCCCUUGGGGAUGCGGUGUCGGGUGGACCUCGAAGCACGCUAUGUGUCCCAAGUCUCUCGCACAACCUUGUGCCCGAUUCUUUGGCCCACGUUGCCGUGCGCGGACUCUUGGAUAUGGUACAUUGUGCGGGCACGAGGUCCUCAGCCUCUAUCUUGCCCAAAUGCAAGCGUUCUACGCUUCGUGCGAACGACUUCCGCGG
rnacentral:misc_RNA from 1 species